rnacentral:snRNA from 1 species
AUUGGAAAUUUCAGCAGGAUCAUCG